AGUGAACGCUGGCGGUAGGCCUAACACAUGCAAGUCGAACGGCAGCACAGUAAGAGCUUGCUCUUACGGGUGGCGAGUGGCGGACGGGUGAGGAAUACAUCGGAAUCUACUUUUUCGUGGGGGAUAACGUAGGGAAACUUACGCUAAUACCGCAUACGACCUACGGGUGAAAGCAGGGGAUCUUCGGACCUUGCGCGAUUGAAUGAGCCGAUGUCGGAUUAGCUAGUUGGCGGGGUAAAUGCCCACCAAGGCGACGAUCCGUAGCUGGUCUGAGAGGAUGAUCAGCCACACUGGAACUGAGACACGGUCCAGACUCCUACGGGAGGCAGCAGUGGGGAAUAUUGGACAAUGGGCGCAAGCCUGAUCCAGCCAUACCGCGUGGGUGAAGAAGGCCUUCGGGUUGUAAAGACCUUUUGUUGGGAAAGAAAAGCAGCAGGUUAAUACCCCGCUGUUCUGACGGUAACCAAAGGAUAAGCACCGGCUAACUUCGUG
rnacentral:rRNA from 1 species